CAGGGGAGGGCCCCAGCCUACACUCAGGGUGGCUCUUCCUCCUCAGUGAGUCCUCCCUGGAAGCAUCCUCACGGAAGUCAAGCUGGCCACGAAGACGAGCAUCCCCGCAUGUCAGUUGUCCUCCACCUGCCUCUGCACCCAGGGGCUUCAGGUUGAACGCUGUUACUUCCAGUGGGGGACUGGUCCCGUAUUUAGUGGUAGACAAGGGGUUGCAGGAAGCCAAGAAAGACAAGCGUGGGUGGAUGCUGGGAUGGUUUUCUCCUUUGCUCAUCUCAUUCAGUCAACCCUCUUUGGAAACAGUCGCUGAGAUACUCCCAGAGGCCACACCAGUGAAAACACUUAGCAACUUGGAAGCUUCAGUACUAUGGGCUGAAUAAACUCUUUUUCAUUACAAGUUGUCUCCUUUUGGGAAUUUGUUAUGGUAUCAAAAGAACAGGACUGGUAUAAACAACAGAGAGAAUCACCCAAGCUACCAUUUGCUAAGUACAUAUGAUGAGAUCAAACUAACCUGAGGGCAUUAAACAUGCCGACUCAGUUAUUAUCCAAACACAUUUAUGUGACAGAUGGAGUCUACUCAGUUUAUGGAGGAAGAUAAGAUACAAAGAAACGGAGAGGCUUGGCUUGGGUCAGACAACCUCAGCACAUGGCAGAGAGGCGGGGCUCUCUGAGGUCAUCAGCUGGAUUCCAGGAACUUCACCUGUCCACCAGGAUGUCCUGCGACAAAGUCAGGCCUUCAGCAACCUCUUGUGAGCAGGGACUCCCAUCCACCCUCUCUGAGUCCCCGAUGAGUUCUUCUGAGCAGUUGUGCACACAGUGG
rnacentral:lncRNA from 1 species